rnacentral:rRNA from 1 species
ACAAUCCGCGUGGAGGAUCCGGCCUAUGGGUUGUAAACUCCUUUUCUUUGAGAAGAAGUCCUGACGGUAUCAAAGGAAUAAGCAUCGGCUAACUCCGUGCCAGCAGCCGCGGUAAGACGGAGGAUGCAAGUGUUAUCCGGAAUUAUUGGGCGUAAAGCGUUUGUAGGUGGAAAAAUAAGUCUAUUGUUAAAUCCAGGAGCUUAACUUCUGUCCAGCGAUAUGAAACUAUUUUUCUUGAGGGUGGUAGGGGUAGAAGGAAUUCCUAGUGUAGCGGUGAAAUGCGUAGAUAUUAGGAAGAACACCAAAGGCGAAGGCAUUCUACUGGGCCAAUCCUGACACUGAGAGACGAAAGCUAGGGGAGCGAAAGGGAUUAGAUACCCCUGUAGU